rnacentral:rRNA from 1 species
AUUGAACGCUGGCGGCAUGCUUUACACAUGCAAGUCGAACGGUAACAGGUUAAGCUGACGAGUGGCGAACGGGUGAGUAAUGCAUCGGAACGUGCCCGGUCGUGGGGGAUAACGCAGCGAAAGCUGCGCUAAUACCGCAUACGAUCUAAGGAUGAAAGCGGGGGACCGUAAGGCCUCGCGCGAUCGGAGCGGCCGAUGUCAGAUUAGGUAGUUGGUGGGGUAAAGGCUCACCAAGCAAACGAUCUGUAGCUGGUCUGAGAGGACGACCAGCCACACUGGGACUGAGACACGGCCCAGACUCCUACGGGAGGCAGCAGUGGGGAAUUUUGGACAAUGGGCGAAAGCCUGAUCCAGCAAUGCCGCGUGCAGGAAGAAGGCCUUCGGGUUGUAAACUGCUUUUGUACGGAACGAAACGGCCCUUUCUAAUACAGGGGGCUAAUGACGGUACCGUAAGAAUAAGCACCGGCUAACUACGUGCCAGCAGCAGCCGCCG